rnacentral:rRNA from 1 species
CCUACGGGCGGCUGCAGUGGGGAAUAUUGCGCAAUGAGCGAAAGCCUGACGCAGCGACGCCGCGUGCGGGAUGAAGGUCUUCGGAUCGUAAACCUCUGUCAGCAGGGAAGAACAGUCACUGUGGUAAUCAGCAGUGAAUUGACGGUACCUGCAAAGGAAGCACCGGCUAACUCCGUGCCAGCAGCCGCGGUAAUACGGAGGGUGCGAGCGUUAUUCGGAAUUACUGGGCGUAAAGCGCUCGUAGGCGGUAUGUCAAGUCAAGGGUGAAAUCCCCGGGCCCAACGUGGGAACUGCUUUUGAAACUGGCAAACUGGAGUGUGUGAGAGGAUAGUGGAAUUCCAGGUGUAGGAGUGGAAUGCGUAGAUAUCUGGAGGAACAUCAGUGGCGAAGGCGACUAUCUGGAACAUAACUGACGCUGAGGAGCGAAAGCGUGGGUAGCAAACAGGAUUAGAUACCCCAGUAGUC